UUCAUCUCACUAAGGGAGCCUCACUUGUACGUUGGCGAGAGGAGCCAAAGGAAGAACUUUAACGAGAUUAAGAUCUGGAGCCUUUCAGGCCAUGGGUCGACUGUUCAUCGAGUUUGCCUCCGGCAGCGGCGGCUGCUGAGACACCGAGCCCAGUGCCCCUUUCGAAAAUCUCUUAUUUCCAGGCCGGCCGGCCUCGCUACAUCAGCUAGAGAUGUGGCGAAAUCGCUCUUUGAUUUCUUUCUCAGAUCCGAUGAAGUGGGGCCAUAGUAGCCUAUGGUCGCCAAGGCGCUUCGCACCAGCAGGGCCCUUCCACCGCGAGCUCUAUAAAUUUGUAUCGAUUUUGUUUCAGAGAAUAGAGGAAGCAUAUAUGUGAUUUUGUUUUGGA